rnacentral:tRNA from 1 species
GGGCGCAUAGCUCAGUUGGUUAGAGCGCUACGCUCACAUCGUAGAGGUCUGUGGUUCAAAUCCACAUGCGCCCACCA